rnacentral:lncRNA from 1 species
AAAUAGUGUUCUUGCUCCUCCUCCUUUCAAUAAAUUCUCAAUAUAGCAAACUCUGAGGAUGAAGGAGGUUAAAAAUCUCAUUUUAUAUUCAUUUCAAAUAGUUGAGAAAAAUAAAUAAUAAAUGAAGUUCUAAUGUAAACACUUAUUCUGUGUUCUAUUUAAAUCCUGUGUUAAUAUUCAUAGUAUAUUCCUGCCCCAAGGAGUUUGCUGACCAAUUUCAAGCAUCACAUUAGUAGGUGGUAAUGUUCUACAGAAAUAAAAAGUGAGAGGAGGAUGAAAGAAAAAUAUUAUUUCAGGUAACAAUUAAAAUAAUGAACGUCUUAAGAGCACACAACCUUUCUUUUUCCUCUUCUCUUUGGUUUAGUGGAACAUAGCUCCCUUUCUUUGGCCCUGGUGAUAAGAGAACCCCUCCAUGAAGUGAGCAUGUUUUACUGAAUGUAAAAGAAUCCGCCUAAAAAUUUGGAGCAGUGAGUAUCAUCCCAAAGGAAUGAUCAGGGAUCACACUGGGCUCUCCAAAUGUAACAGAGUAAAGAGCAUGGCUGCUUCUAAGAAAUUUCAAAUUCAUUCCCUCAGACAACCAGCAAAAAUGUAAGCGUAUAAAUCGUGAGGACAGACCGAGCCAGAGAGAGGAGAGCUUAAUUAUUAGGUGAUCAGAAGUGGGAGUCCUGAUUCCAUUUUACAGUUAUUGAAGAGUUUGUGAAUUUAUGGUUAAUAGUCACUUAGGAUUAAAAAACAAAACAAAAUAGUCUCUUGAGAGCAGGGACUGGA